rnacentral:rRNA from 1 species
UACGUAGGGUGCGAGCGUUGUCCGGAAUUAUUGGGCGUAAAGAGCUCGUAGGCGGUGUGUCACGUCGGCCGUGAAAACCUGCAGCUUAACUGUGGGUCUGCGGUGGAUACGGGCAGACUAGAGGCAGGUAGGGGAGAAUGGAAUUCCCGGUGUAGCGGUGAAAUGCGCAGAUAUCGGGAGGAACACCGGUGGCGAAGGCGGUUCUCUGGGCCUGUACUGACGCUGAGGAGCGAAAGCGUGGGGAGCGAACAGG